rnacentral:rRNA from 1 species
GUGGGGAAUUUUGGACAAUGGGGGCAACCCUGAUCCAGCAAUGCCGCGUGCAGGAAGAAGGCCUUCGGGUUGUAAACUGCUUUUGUACGGAACGAAACGGUCCUGGUUAAUACCUGGGGCUAAUGACGGUACCGUAAGAAUAAGCACCGGCUAACUACGUGCCAGCAGCCGCGGUAAUACGUAGGGUGCAAGCGUUAAUCGGAAUUACUGGGCGUAAAGCGUGCGCAGGCGGUUUUGUAAGACAGGCGUGAAAUCCCCGGGCUCAACCUGGGAAUGGCGCUUGUGACUGCAAGGCUGGAGUGCGGCAGAGGGGGAUGGAAUUCCGCGUGUAGCAGUGAAAUGCGUAGAUAUGCGGAGGAACACCGAUGGCGAAGGCAAUCCCCUGGGCCUGCACUGACGCUCAUGCACGAAAGCGUGGGGAGCAAACAGGAUUAGAAACCCGAGUAGUCC